GCCCAGGAUGCCACAGCACUUGCGUUCAGCGUCUGGAGUCAGCUCAGAGAGUAUCCUGUGGCGAAGAUUUCAAGGUUGAAUAAAAGCGCCAGAGAUGGUCGCAUCUAGCUGUUUCCAGUCUGGGCCACCGCUGCACCAGCCACACCUCUCUAGGACCACCUCAAGCAGCCCUUUCCUGUGUCUGGACUGUCUUUCUACUGCUGGUCUAGCUCUCAUCCAGUGAAUGGUUACAUCAGUUCCCGGAGGAGUUGGAGGGCUUUCGUCAUCCCUGAGAAGAAGGCAAUAGUAUUAACCACA